UACGAAGGGGCUAGCGUUGCUCGGAAUCACUGGGCGUAAAGGGUGCGUAGGCGGGUUUUAAGUCAGGGUGAAAUCCUGGAGCUCAACUCCAGACUGCCUUUGAUACUGAAGAUCUUGAGUCCGGAGAUGGUGAGUGGAACUGCGAGUGUAGAGGUGAAAUUCGAUAGAUAUUGCAAGAACACCAGUGGCGAAGGCGGCUCACUGGCCCGGUACUGACGCUGAGGCACGAAAGCGUGGGGAGCAA
rnacentral:rRNA from 1 species